rnacentral:pre_miRNA from 1 species
AAUAACCUUAUUUUUCGUUUUUUCGUGUCCAACGUUUGACCAUUUAUCUUAUUUGAAUUUUUUUGCGAUUAAUAUUUUUAUUGUUACUAGAUGAUAAAAUAGUACUUUAUAUAUGACUAUUUUUUUAAGUUUUUUUAUAAAUUUUUUAAAUAAGACGAAUGGUCAAACUUUGGACACGGAAAA